UUCAGGGAUUCACAUGCACUCAUAUAUUUCUGUCUUUGCAGCUGAUCUACUCGGUCAUAAUCAUCCAUAAUGAAGACUGUCCAGCUCGUUGUCGUCCUCCUCAUCGUCUGCAUCAGCUGUGGUGAGUACGCAUUCAUGUUUUCAGCCUUUCUUUGAACCUCUGUAACAUAAAACAGACCACUGCGUGCGAAUAACGGUAAAUCCUUGACAUGUUUUGUUUUGCAGCAGAGGCUCUGAAGUGUAACCGUUGUAUUCCUGUGAAAAUGGGUGGAUCAUGCACCAACACAGUGGAGGAGUGUGGAGAAGGUGAAGACGUUUGUAUCUACGUAUCCAUAUCAAACCCCAGUAAGUGAUCUCAAAUUGCAGUAAUUACACAUAAUUUUGCACAAUUUUGAGUUUGCAUGACUCAAACAUUUUUAAAAGAGCUUUUUUAGAUCAGUCCAUCCUGCUGCAGUCCUCAGUAGAUUUUGGCGCACUCUUUAAAAGUUGUUGUAUUAAGAGUCUGACAAACAUCAUUAAAAGGAUCUCUACAGAGAGGAGGAGGAUUUUGUUUUUAUUCACAACUACCUGUUUAAUCGCAUCUUCAAAGCAACCAAACCCCACUAAAUAAACAGUAACUUUGCCUCAGGGGAGUUACUGGUCAACCUCUGAGCUCACAUAGUUUAUCUGCACAUCAGAUCCUGGAUCUGCAUCCUGGAAUAGGUAAUUGGAUCUAUUUUAAUGUCAAUGCAACACAAAUUUAAACAAAAAAGUAGCUGUUUGAGGGGUAAACCUCUGGUGCUCUGCAAAGUACAACUGCUGCUUUUGUGAAUGGAGUCUGGUAGCUUUGAAGAGAGUGAAACAAAGGUUGUUUAAUGCUCUCUUUCACCAUCUGUAAUGAUGUCAGACACUUAAAAUCUCAAUCCGAGCCUGUCAGGGAUAAAACAAGGACUUUGAGUGAACACACAUUUUCAAUUGGAUUUGACUCAAACAGAAGUAAAGAUCCUUGUUUUCUUUGAAUUUGGUUGUUAUAAGCAUCAUUUGUGGAUAUUUUGCCUGAAUUAACAUGUUGCUCUUGUAUUUCCUGCAGUGUACUCAUACUUUAAGAGAUGCUCGAGGAGAUUUGUGGCCGACAACAUGGAGCGCAGCCAUCUCCUCACAGUCCAAAUCUGUGAAACUGACCUCUGCAACUGAGAUAACGUCUGCAAAAAAAAGCAAAAAUUGUAUCUUUAUUUAAAAAUGUGACUUACUGAGAGGACUGAAGAAAUGUGAUUCAGCUCCAUAUAAUCUGCUUAC